UUCCGGGUGAUCCUGCCGGAGGUUACUGCUAUCGAGGUUCGACUAAGCCAUGCGAGUCGAAUGCCGCAAGGCAUGGCGUACUGCUCAGUAACACGUGGACAACCUACCCUUAGGACUGGGAUAACCCCGGGAAACUGGGAAUAAUCCCCGAUAGUCCUCGAAGGCUGGAACGCAUCGAGGGCGAAAGCUCCGGCGCCUAAGGAUGGGUCUGCGGCCUAUCAGGUAGUAGUGGGUGUAGCGUACCUACUAGCCUACGACGGGUACGGGUUGUGAGAGCAAGAGCCCGGAGAUGGAUUCUGAGACACGAAUCCAGGCCCUACGGGGUGCAGCAGGCGCGAAAACUUUACAAUGCUGGCAACAGCGAUAAGGGAACCUCGAGUGCCAGGUUACAAAUCUGGCUGUCGAGAUGCCUAAAAAGCAUUUCAUAGCAAGGGCCGGGCAAGACCAGUGCCAGCCGCCGCGGUAACACCGGCGGCUCGAGUGGUGAACCGUUAUUAUUGGGUCUAAAGGGUCUGUAGCCGGCCGGAUAAGUCUCUUGGGAAAUCUGGCAGCUCAACUGUCAGGCUAUCAGGAGAUACUGUCUGGCUCGAGGCCGGGAGAGGUGAGA
rnacentral:rRNA from 1 species